CCUACGGGGGGCGGCAGUGAGGAAUAUUGGUCAAUGGGCGGAAGCCUGAACCAGCCAUCCCGCGUGAAGGAAGAAGGCCCUACGGGUUGUAAACUUCUUUUCUGUUUGAAGAAUAAGCCCGUCGUGACGGGUGAUGCCGGUAGGACAGGAAUAAGCAUCGGCUAACUCCGUGCCAGCAGCCCCGGUC
rnacentral:rRNA from 1 species